rnacentral:rRNA from 1 species
CCUGGUUGAUCUUGCAGUAGCAUAUGGUUGUCUCAAAGAUUAAGCCAUGCACAUGUAAGUACACACGGCCGGUAGUGAAACUGCGAAUGGCUCAUUAAAUCAGUUAUAUUUCCUUUGAUCGCUCCAUCUGUUACUUGGAUAACUGUGGUAAUUCUAAAGCUAAUACAUGCAUGAGCGCGAACCUUCCAGGAUUCGGCAUUUAUCAGACCAAGACUAAUCCCGGCUCGCCGGCCCCUUUGGUGACGCUAGAUAACCUGGGCCGAUUUGCACGUCCCCAUGACGGCGAAGAUGCAUUAGGAUGUGUGCCCUAUCAACUUUCGAUGGUACUUUCUGUGCCUACUAGGUGACCAUGGGUAAUGGGAAUCAGUGUUUGAUUCCGGAGAGGGAGCCUGAGAAAUGGCUUCCACACCCAAGGAAGGCAGCAUGCAUGCAAAUUACCCACUCCCGACUCCGGGAGGUAGUGACGAAAAAUAACAAUAUAGCACUCUUUUGAGGCACUGUAAUUGGAAUGAGUACACUUUAAAUCCUUUAGUACCCAUAGGAGGGCAAGUCUGAUGCCAGCACCAACAGUAAUUCCAGCUCCAAUAGCGUAUAUUAAAGUUGCUGCAGUUAAAAAGCUCAUAGUUGGAUCUUGGGAUCAAGCUGGCGGUCUGCUGUGAGGUGAGCUACCGCCUGUCGCAGCCUCUGCACCUUGGCGCCCCUUGAAGCUCUUGCCUGAGUGUCCCUGGAGGUCCGAAGCAUUUACUUUAAAAAAUGUGAGUGUUCAAAGCAGGCCGAUCACCUGAAUAUUUCAGCUAGGAAUAAUGAAAUAGGACUCUGGUUCUAUUUGUUGGUUUUCGGAACUGGGCCAUGAGACGGCGGCGGGCACUCUUAUUGUGCCUCUACAGGUGAAAUUCUUGGACGGCGCAGACGAACCAAAGCAUAAGCAUUAGCCAAGAAUGUUUUCAUUAAUCAAAGAACGAAAGUCUGAGGUUCGAAGAUGAGCUGAUACCCUUGUAGCUCCACCAUAAACUAUGCAGGCUAGCAAUCUGGCUGCAUUUUUCCCAUGACCCGCUGAGCAGCUUUUGCGAAGUCUUUGGGUUCGGGGAGAGAAUGGUUGCAAAGCUGAAACUUAAAAGGAAUUGACAGAGGGCACCACAUGAAACCUCACCCGGCCCGAACACGGAAAGGAUUGACAGAUUGAUAGUUCUUUCUCGAUUCUGUGGGUGGUGGUACAUGGCCGUUCUUAGUUGGUGGAGCGAUUUGUCUCGUUAAUUCGAUAAAUGAACGAGACUCCUCCAUGCUAACUAGUUUUGCGACCCAACCCCCCCCCCCCUAGCGGUCAGCCUUGAACUUCUUAGAGGGACUAAUUGUGUUUAGUCACGCGAGAUUGAUCAAUAAGAGGUUUGUGAUGCCUUUAGAUGUCCGGGGCUGCACGCACGCUACCCUUUGUACACACUGCCUGUCGCUACUACAGAUUGGAUGGUUUAGUGAGGUACUUGGAUCGGCCCCGCCUGGGUCGGCAAUGGCCCUGGUGGAGUGGAGAGAAGACUAUCAACCUUGACUAUCUAGAGAAAGUGAAAGCCGUACGGGUUGGGUUAGGCCUCUUGUCCUAGCAAAUUUU